rnacentral:rRNA from 1 species
UACAGGGGGUGCAAACGUUGCUCGGAAUCAUUGGGCGUAAAGCGCACGUAGGCGGUUUGUUAUGUCGGAUGUGAAAGCCCUUGGCUCAACUAAGGAAGUGCAUCCGAAACUGGCAGCUAGAGUACUAAAGAGGGUCGCGGAAUUCCCGGUGUAGAGGUGAAAUUCGUAGAUAUCGGGAGGAACACCGGUGGCGAAGGCGGCGACCUGGGUAGAUACUGACGCUGAGGUGCGAAAGCGUGGGGAGCAAACAGG